rnacentral:snRNA from 1 species
GGCACUGGUAAUGGUACUCCUAGUAUACGGGGACAGGGUGCGAUUCCCUGCGGUGUC